CAGCCGCCACGGUAAAACGUAGGGUGCAAGCGUUAAUCGGAAUUACUGGGCGUAAAGCGUGCGCAGGCGGUUUGUUAAGACAGAUGUGAAAUCCCCGGGCUCAACCUGGGAACUGCAUUUGUGAUUGGCAAGCUAGAGUGUGGCAGAGGGGGGUGGAAUUCCGCGUGUAGCAGUGAAAUGCGUAGAUAUUCGGAAGAACACCAGUGGCGAAGGCGACAUACUGGUCCGUUACUGACGCUGAGGCUCGAAAGCGUGGGGAGCAAACAGGAUUAGAGACCCCGGUAGUCCCUGUCUCUUAUAC
rnacentral:rRNA from 1 species